AAGCAGCUCACCACACAAGGCCACAGGAGGAGCACCAGGUUUUGGUCAGGAAGUAAAGGCAGGAGCAAGCAGUAUGUUUAGGCGAGAAUCUUUAUUUGGGUUCCUGUGGGAAAGCUCCAGCAAAUGACUUUGGAAAAGCAGUUGAUUAGUUUGGAGGGAGGGGUGAUGGAAUCAAGUGAAAAAGUCAGAAAAAACAGGUUCAUAGAAAUGAAAGAAUGAAGUCAUCAGCCAGACUUGUGGUGGGAUAUUGAGGUGGCUGAAUUCGAUUUCACAUAGAAAGAAGGUCAAGAAUUGAUCCCCCAGCAACUAAAUAAGGAUUUCUGUAAUCAGUAAUGUGAAUUUAAAAGAG